UACAGAGGGUGCGAGCGUUAAUCGGAAUUACUGGGCGUAAAGCGUGCGUAGACGGUUAUGUAAGUCAGGUGUGAAAACCCCGGGCUCAACCUGGGAAUUGCAUUUGAGACUGCAUAGCUAGGGUGCGGAAGAGGGAAGCGGAAUUUCCGGUGUAGCGGUGAAAUGCGUAGAUAUCGGAAGGAACAUCAGUGGCGAAAGCGGCUUCCUGGUCCAGCACCGACGUUCAGGCACGAAAGCGUGGGGAGCGAACCGG
rnacentral:rRNA from 1 species